rnacentral:lncRNA from 1 species
UAACAAAUCACACAUUAUUUACAUAUAUAUAUAUACAUUAUCAAUUCACACAAUAUUUUGAAAACAUAAUCACAAUGGUCCGAUAAUUUUGUUUUUAGUCCAGUUUCUGUAUUGUUCCGAUUUUUCUUCAUGUCUUCUCCACAACUUUGAAUAACGAUAGGUUCCGAAAAGCUAAUCACAUACAACAGGUAUAAUGUUCAAGGUUCAAACUUUAGAAAAUUUCCAAUUUUUCGGUUUAUAACACAUUUUCAGGUCCGAAAACUCCAAAUAAACUUUCUUUGUAAAUUUUCGUUAAGACUGGUUCUUUGCAAUUCUUAUUUCAC